rnacentral:misc_RNA from 1 species
UCUCCGCUUGCGCGGGCAGUCUUUUUAGAGUGCCCAACCGAAGUGCUGGCAACUAAGUUUAGGGGUUGCGCUCGUUGCGGGACUUAACCCAACAUCUCACGACACGAGCUGACGACAACCAUGCACCACCUGUCUCCUCUGUCCCGAAGGAAAGCCCUAUCUCUAGGACGGUCAGAGGGAUGUCAAGACCUGGUAAGGUUCUUCGCGUUGCUUCGAAUUAAACCACAUACUCCACUGCUUGUGCGGGUCCCCGUCAAUUCCUUUGAGUUUUAAUCUUGCGACCGUACUCCCCAGGCGGAAUGCUUAAUCCGUUAGGUGUGACACCGAAGGGCAAGCCCCCCGACGUCUGGCAUUCAUCGUUUACGGCGUGGACUAC